CUGCCAGCAGCCGCGGUAAUACGUAGGGUGCGAGCGUUGUCCGGAAUUAUUGGGCGUAAAGAGCUCGUAGGCGGUUUGCCGCGUCGGCUGUGAAAACCUGCCGCUUAACGGUGGGCCUGCAGUCGAUACGGGCAGACUUGAGUUCGGCAGGGGAGACUGGAAUUCCUGGUGUAGCGGUGAAAUGCGCAGAUAUCAGGAGGAACACCGGUGGCGAAGGCGGGUCUCUGGGCCGGUACUGACGCUGAGGAGCGAAAGCGUGGGGAGCGAACAGGAUUAGAUACCCUGGUAGUCC
rnacentral:rRNA from 1 species